UUAACACAUGCAAGUCGAGGGGCAGCACAGGUAGCAAUACCGGGUGGCGACCGGCGCACGGGUGAGUAACGCGUAUGCAACUUGCCUAUCAGAGGGGGAUAACCCGGCGAAAGUCGGACUAAUACCGCAUGAAGCAGGGAUCCCGCAUGGGAAUAUUUGCUAAAGAUUCAUCGCUGAUAGAUAGGCAUGCGUUCCAUUAGGCAGUUGGCGGGGUAACGGCCCACCAAACCGACGAUGGAUAGGGGUUCUGAGAGGAAGGUCCCCCACAUUGGUACUGAGACACGGACCAAACUCCUACGGGAGGCAGCAGUGAGGAAUAUUGGUCAAUGGCCGAGAGGCUGAACCAGCCAAGUCGCGUGAGGGAUGAAGGUUCUAUGGAUCGUAAACCUCUUUUAUAAGGGAAUAAAGUGCGGGACGUGUCCCGUUUUGUAUGUACCUUAUGAAUAAGGAUCGGCUAACUCCGUGCCAGCAGCCGCGGUAAUACGGAGGAUCCGAGCGUUAUCCGGAUUUAUUGGGUUUAAAGGGUGCGUAGGCGGCCUUUUAAGUCAGCGGUGAAAGUCUGUGGCUCAACCAUAGAAUUGCCGUUGAAACUGGGGGGCUUGAGUAUGUUUGAGGCAGGCGGAAUGCGUGGUGUAGCGGUGAAAUGCAUAGAUAUCACGCAGAACCCCGAUUGCGAAGGCAGCCUGCCAAGCCAUGACUGACGCUGAUGCACGAAAGCGUGGGGAUCAAACAGGAUUAGAUACCCUGGUAGUCCACGCAGUAAACGAUGAUCACUAGCUGUUUGCGAUACACUGUAAGCGGCACAGCGAAAGCGUUAAGUGAUCCACCUGGGGAGUACGCCGGCAACGGUGAAACUCAAAGGAAUUGACGGGGGCCCGCACAAGCGGAGGAACAUGUGGUUUAAUUCGAUGAUACGCGAGGAACCUUACCCGGGUUUGAACGCAUUCGGACCGAGGUGGAAACACCUUUUCUAGCAAUAGCCGUUUGCGAGGUGCUGCAUGGUUGUCGUCAGCUCGUGCCGUGAGGUGUCGGCUUAAGUGCCAUAACGAGCGCAACCCUUGCCACUAGUUACUAACAGGUAAAGCUGAGGACUCUGGUGGGACUGCCAGCGUAAGCUGCGAGGAAGGCGGGGAUGACGUCAAAUCAGCACGGCCCUUACAUCCGGGGCGACACACGUGUUACAAUGGCGUGGACAAAGGGAAGCCACCUGGCGACAGGGAGCGAAUCCCCAAACCACGUCUCAGUUCGGAUCGGAGUCUGCAACCCGACUCCGUGAAGCUGGAUUCGCUAGUAAUCGCGCAUCAGCCAUGGCGCGGUGAAUACGUUCCCGGGCCUUGUACACACCGCCCGUCAAGCCAUGGGAGCCGGGGGUACCUGAAGUCCGUAACCGCGAGGAUCGGCCUAGGGUAAAACUGGUGACUGGGGCUAAGUC
rnacentral:rRNA from 1 species